rnacentral:lncRNA from 10 species
GUUUAUUCCCCCAAGAUGACAACUUAAGUCUUUGAGUCUAUCAGUUCCAGGCAAGGGUCAAGCUCCACAGGACCAGCCAUCAGGGAAAUAACAUGACUUGUUAUUUCCAGACUACGUUCAGAACAGCUGGUCAUGCUCCCUCUCUCGGACAAUAGAACUUGAAUGAGUCUAAAGAGGCCCAGAGCUUCAAAACAAAAAGUUUACCUGUAGGAGUGAAGGAGUUUAUUCAUUUCCAGUCUCUAAUCUAGAAGGCCUUUUCCUCCCAUGAAGGAUCUUCAUUCUGAAGGUUGGUAUGUAAAUUCAGCCAGAGUAGUCGGUGUGAACUUGAAACCUAGGAAACUUCCAUCUCCUUAUAGUUUUUAACCCUUUGAGGAUAAGUUUUGUAACUAUAUUUUCCAAAUGUAACACCAUUGUCUGCUGACAAUCUGUUCUACAUUAAUACGCCAUUUUUUUAUUCCACAUUCUUCUCCAACACAAUUUUACUACUCCAGAAAACUUUUGCCCAUAAAUUUAAAAAUCC